rnacentral:rRNA from 1 species
UUUACCUACGGGACGCAGCAGUGAGGAAUAUUGGUCAAUGGGCGCAAGCCUGGACCAGCCAAGUCGCGUGAGGGAAGACGGUCCUAUGGAUUGUAAACCUCUUUUGUCGGGGAGCAAAGCGCGGUACGAGUACCGCGAAGGAGAGUACCCGAAGAAAAAGCAUCGGCUAACUCCGUGCCGGCAGCCGCGGUAAUACGGAGGAUGCGAGCGUUAUCCGGAUUUAUUGGGUUUAAAGGGUGCGUAGGCGGAUUUGUAAGUCAGCGGUAAAAAUGCGGUGCUCAACGCCGUAUCGCCGUUGAAACUGC